rnacentral:rRNA from 1 species
GUACCAGACUCCUACGGGAGGCAGCAGUGAGGAAUAUUGGUCAAUGGGCGGGAGCCUGAACCAGCCAAGUCGCGUGAGGGAAGACGGUCCUACGGAUUGUAAACCUCUUUUGCCGGGGAGCAAGGGCGGGGACGUGUCCCGGCCCGGAGAGUACCCGGAGAAAAAGCAUCGGCUAACUCCGUGCCAGCAGCCGCGGUAAUACGGAGGAUGCGAGCGUUAUCCGGAUUUAUUGGGUUUAAAGGGUGCGUAGGCGGGCUUUUAAGUCAGCGGUAAAAAUUCGGGGCUCAACCCCGUCCGGCCGUUGAAACUGGGGGCCUUGAGUGGGCGAGAAGAAGGCGGAAUGCGUGGUGUAGCGGUGAAAUGCAUAGAUAUCACGCAGAACUCCGAUUGCGAAGGCAGCAUACCGGCGCCCAACUGACGCUGAAGCACGAAAGCGUGGGUAUCGAACAGGAUUAGAUACCCGGGUAC